GCCUGGGUGGCUCAGUCGGUUGAGCUUCCGACUUCGGCUCAGGUCAUGAUCUCACGGUUCGUGGGUUCGGGUCCCGCCUCGGGCG
rnacentral:tRNA from 1 species